rnacentral:rRNA from 1 species
AAUGAACGCUGGCGGCGUGCCUAACACAUGCAAGUCGUACGAGAAAGGGGCUUCGGCCCUGAGUAGAGUGGCGCACGGGUGAGUAACGCGUGGGUAAUCUACCCUUGGAUUUGGGAUAACUCUGCGAAAGUGGAGCUAAUACCGGAUAGUCUGGCUUUAAAUAAGAAGUCGGUAAAGGAUGCCUCUGCAUAUGCAUUCGUCCGAGGAUGAGCCCGCGUCUCAUUAGCUAGUUGGUAGGGUAAUGGCCUACCAAGGCAACGAUGAGUAGCUGGUCUGAGAGGAUGAUCAGCCACACUGGAACUGAAACACGGUCCAGACUCCUACGGGAGGCAG